CUAGCUACAGGCUUAACACAUGCAAGUCGAGGGUCAGCAUGGUCUUAGCUUGCUAAGGCCGAUGGCGACCGGCGCACGGGUGAGUAACGCGUAUCCAACCUGCCUUACACUCUUGGACAGCCUUCUGAAAGGGAGAUUAAUACAAGAUGUUAUCAUGAGUAAGCAUUUUCACAUGAUUAAAGGUUUACCGGUGUAAGAUGGGGAUGCGUUCCAUUAGAUAGUAGGCGGGGUAACGGCCCACCUAGUCUUCGAUGGAUAGGGGUUCUGAGAGGAAGGUCCCCCACAUUGGAACUGAGACACGGUCCAAACUCCUACGGGAGGCAGCAGUGAGGAAUAUUGGUCAAUGGACGAGAGUCUGAACCAGCCAAGUAGCGUGAAGGAUGAAGGUUCUAUGGAUUGUAAACUUCUUUUAUACGGGAAUAAACGGAUCCACGUGUGGAUUUUUGCAUGUACCGUAUGAAUAAGGAUCGGCUAACUCCGUGCCAGCAGCCGCGGUAAUACGGAGGAUCCGAGCGUUAUCCGGAUUUAUUGGGUUUAAAGGGAGCGUAGAUGGGUUGUUAAGUCAGUUGUGAAAGUUUGCGGCUCAACCGUAAAAUUGCAAUUGAUACUGGCAGUCUUGAGUACAGUUGAGGUAGGCGGAAUUCGUGGUGUAGCGGUGAAAUGCUUAGAUAUCACGAAGAACUCCGAUUGCGAAGGCAGCUUACUAACCUGUAACUGACAUUGAUGCUCGAAAGUGUGGGUAUCAAACAGGAUUAGAUACCCUGGUAGUCCACACGGUAAACGAUGAAUACUCGCUGUAGGCGAUAUACAGUCUGCGGCCAAGCGAAAGCAUUAAGUAUUCCACCUGGGGAGUACGCCGGCAACGGUGAAACUCAAAGGAAUUGACGGGGGCCCGCACAAGCGGAGGAACAUGUGGUUUAAUUCGAUGAUACGCGAGGAACCUUAUCCGGGCUUAAAUUGCAACCGAAUAUGGCGGAAACGCUAUAGCUAGCAAUAGCGGUUGUGAAGGUGCUGCAUGGUUGUCGUCAGCUCGUGCCGUGAGGUGUCGGCUUAAGUGCCAUAACGAGCGCAACCCUUGCCGAUAGUUACUAACAGGUCAUGCUGAGGACUCUGUCGGGACUGCCAUCGUAAGAUGUGAGGAAGGUGGGGAUGACGUCAAAUCAGCACGGCCCUUACGUCCGGGGCUACACACGUGUUACAAUGGGGGGUACAGAGGGCUGCUACCACGCAAGUGGAUGCCAAUCCCAAAAACCUCUCUCAGUUCGGAUUGAAGUCUGCAACCCGACUUCAUGAAGCUGGAUUCGCUAGUAAUCGCGCAUCAGCCACGGCGCGGUGAAUACGUUCCCGGGCCUUGUACACACCGCCCGUCAAGCCAUGGGAGCCGGGGGUACCUGAAGUGCGUAACCGCAAGGAGCGCCCUAGGGUAAAACUGG
rnacentral:rRNA from 1 species